rnacentral:rRNA from 1 species
UAGGGAAUCUUCGGCAAUGGGGGCAACCCUGACCGAGCAACGCCGCGUGAGUGAAGAAGGUUUUCGGAUCGUAAAGCUCUGUUGUAAGUCAAGAACGGGUGUGAGAGUGGAAAGUUCACACUGUGACGGUAGCUUACCAGAAAGGGACGGCUAACUACGUGCCAGCAGCCGCGGUAAUACGUAGGUCCCGAGCGUUGUCCGGAUUUAUUGGGCGUAAAGCGAGCGCAGGCGGUUUGAUAAGUCUGAAGUUAAAGGCUGUGGCUCAACCAUAGUUCGCUUUGGAAACUGUCAAACUUGAGUGCAGAAGGGGAGAGUGGAAUUCCAUGUGUAGCGGUGAAAUGCGUAGAUAUAUGGAGGAACACCGGUGGCGAAAGCGGCUCUCUGGUCUGUAACUGACGCUGAGGCUCGAAAGCGUGGGGAGCGAACAGGAUUAGAUACCCUGGUAGUCCACGCCGUAAACGAUGAGUGCUAGGUGUUGGAUCCUUUCCGGGAUUCAGUGCCGCAGCUAACGCAUUAAGCACUCCGCCUGGGGAGUACGACCGCAAGGUUGAAACUCUAAAGUAAUUGAC